rnacentral:rRNA from 1 species
CCCUACGGGAGGCAGCAGUGGGGGAUAUUGGACAAUGGGGGGAACCCUGAUCCAGCGACGCCGCGUGAGUGAAGAAGUAUUUCGGUAUGUAAAGCUCUGUCAGCAGGGAAGAAAGCAAUGACGGUACCUGACCAAGAAGCCCCGGCUAACUACGUGCCAGCAGCCGCGGUAAUACGUAGGGGGCAAGCGUUAUCCGGAAUUACUGGGUGUAAAGGGAGCGUAGACGGCUGUGCAAGUCUGGAGUGAAAACCCGGGGCUCAACCCUGGGAGUGCUUUUGAAACUGUGCGGCUAGAGUGUCGGAGGG